UUUAUUAUUUAAAACGUUUAAUAAUUACAGUUGAAGACAAAUCAAGGAGACACUGGAAAUGUUUAAGGCAUUAUCACAUACAGUUCGUCCACCAUCAAAGUAAUGUAAGCUUUAAGGCUUUGGUUUUCUGUCUGCUGACCGUCGAGAAAUGUCCACAUAUUCUUGCUUGUUUUAAUGGACCUCCUCAAAGCAUUGAUAGUUUCCUCUUCAGAUUUUCUUAUGCAAAACGAUAAGCAAUUGUAUGGAUAUUGGAACGCAACUUCUUGCUUUUAGUUUUCAAAGUUGCAGAUUACGAGAUUUAAUGAGCCAUUACAGUGAUUUUGGAAUAAAAUAAUUACCAGUCCAUUCUUGCAUGAAUAUUUACCACUAUGAUGAAGUAAGAGGUACAGUCAUCUAUAUACAGCUUAGAAAAGGAUCCUUUUGAUUUUUAAUUUCAACAGUACAUCAUAUUAAAAGCAAACAAAUUAUUGUUAUCUAUUUAGUGAUAGCAUGUAGAUAAUUUAUUAUGAUCAUUAUAAAUUGUUAAAUGCCUUUGCAAUAAUAAAGUUUAAUUGUUAAA